rnacentral:rRNA from 1 species
GUGCCAGCCGCCGCGGUAAUACGUAGGUGGCAAGCGUUGUCCGGAAUCACUGGGCGUAAAGCGCGCGCAGGCGGCGAUCUACGUCUGGGGUGAAAGCCCGGAGCUCAACUCCGGGACUGCCUUGGAUACGGGAUCGCUUGAGGAUUGGAGAGGCAAGGGGAAUUCCACGUGUAGCGGUGAAAUGCGUAGAUAUGUGGAGGAACACCUGUGGCGAAGGCGCCUUGCUGGCCAAUUUCUGACGCUGAGGCGCGAAAGCGUGGGGAGCAAACAGGAUUAGAUACCCGAGUAGUCC